AAUUGACUAUAGAGAAAGACAGCCCUAGGCCCAACAGUAAAUGCCCAACUGCAGCUCCAUCUCCACACCCUUUCACCAUGCUCAACCCCUCUGCUAGACACCACGGCGACGAUGCCUUGCAAAUAUUUCGCCGCUCCAACUUGCCUUGCAGCCUCAGCCGCCAUGACAUACCGCGCAACAACCGCCAUCACAAACACAGCCACCAUGAGGACAAAACAACGGCCCUGGAAAGCAGAAGGUAACGGACCCCUGCAUCCAAGCCGCAGGGCCGGCCCAUGACCAAGGCAGAUAAGGCAGUGGCCUUGGGCCUCAGUUUGGGGAAGGCCUCAUCUCAAAAUGCUCAUUAUAUAUAUAUAAGUUAAAAAAAAAAACCCAAAAUAAAUAAAACGCAGAACGCAGUCUUCCACGCUGAAGACGACGCAUGAUCGAGAUCGAUGAAGAAAGACCCGUGACUAUAUGAGGCCUCCAAAUUUCCUCCUUUUCUUUUGUAUUGUUUCACCAAUUUGGGCAAAGAUGGAACGUUGGCUGUUGAUUCAGAAAUUUCUGAUCCCCCUCUGCUUCUUUCAAAGACAAACGAAAGGUGAUACAAUUCUAACAAGCUGUCGAGGCCUCAAGUCACAAAGUUUGUGGUUAAUAAAACCAGGUUCUAUUUGUUCUUUAUCUUUUUUGAAAGGUUGAAUUGUUCUCUUUGUUUUUGGUUUGAAUUUGCUUGUUUUGGUUGGAAUCUGAAAUGCUUGUUCGUUUUGUUUUUUAUUGGAAGCCUUGAAUAGUUGAAUAGCUGUUUGAUUUGUUUAAUUGUUUUAGUACUGAAUAUGUCUACUAGGAAGUUUGAAUGUGGAUUUGAUAAACUUAAGAAAAAGAGAAGGAUAGAAAAGCUAAUUCAAUCCCAAAAAGGAGCACUAGAUAAGUAUGUUACUGUCAAAGAAAAAGCUACAGGAUCAGUAGAAGUGACAGUAGCAAAUCCAGUAGAGAAUUCAGUGCCAAUUGUAGAAGAAGAUGUAGUUGAAAAUGUAAAUGUAGCAGAGAGUGUUGAACCAAGUGUGGUAGAAAAUCUAGCAGAGAGUGUUGAACCAAAUAUAGUGGAAAAUCUAGCAGAGAGUGUUGAACCAAGUGUGGAAGAAAAUCUGGUAGAGAGUGUUGAACCAAAUCUAGUAGAAAGGGUGCCACAAUUCAAUAAUGUUAACACAAAUAUUUUUUAUCCCAGCCAAUGGAAAAACAUUGAUGAAAACUUAAGAAAUUUAUUAGCAGAUUAUGCUUUUGCAAACUUUGAAUUUUUAUUAGG